AUUGAACGCUAGCGGCAGGCCUAACACAUGCAAGUCGAACGAGUGGCGGACGGGUGAGUAAUGUCUGGGAAACUGCCCGCUAGCGGGGGAUAACUACUGGAAACGGUAGCUAAUACCGCAUACUCUUGUAUGUGCCCAUAUGGGAGUAGCUAGUUGGUGGGGUAACGGCUCACCAAGGCGACGAUCCGUAGCUGGUGUGAGAGGAUGACCAGACACACUGGAACUGAGACACGGCCAAGACUCCUACGGGAGGCAGCAGUGGGGAAUAUUGGACAAUGGGGGAAAGCCUGAUGCAGCCAUGCCGCGUGUAUGAAGAAGGCCUUCGGGUUGUAAAGUACUUUCAGCAGGGAGGCGUUAUCUGCAGAAUAAGCACCGGCUAACUCCGUGCCAGCAGCCGCGGUAAUAC
rnacentral:rRNA from 1 species